ACGAACGCUGGCGGCGUGCUUCACACAUGCAAGUCGAACGGAAAGGCCCUGCUUUUGUGGGGUGCUCGAGUGGCGAACGGGUGAGUAACACGUGAGUAACCUGCCCUUGACUUUGGGAUAACUUCAGGAAACUGGGGCUAAUACCGGAUAGGAGCUCCUGCUGCAUGGUGGGGGUUGGAAAGUUUCGGCGGUUGGGGAUGGACUCGCGGCUUAGCAGCUUGUUGGUGGGGUAGUGGCUUACCAAGGCUUUGACGGGUAGCCGGCCUGAGAGGGUGACCGGCCACAUUGGGACUGAGAUACGGCCCAGACUCCUACGGGAGGCAGCAGUGGGGAAUAUUGCACAAUGGGCGGAAGCCUGAUGCAGCAACGCCGCGUGCGGGAUGACGGCCUUCGGGUUGUAAACCGCUUUCGCCUGUGACGAAGCGUGAGUGACGGUAAUGGGUAAAGAAGCACCGGCUAACUACGUG
rnacentral:rRNA from 1 species